GAUGAACGCUGGCGGCGUGCCUAAUACAUGCAAGUCGAGCGAACGGACGAGAAGCUUGCUUCUCUGAUGUUAGCGGCGGACGGGUGAGUAACACGUGGAUAACCUACCUAUAAGACUGGGAUAACUUCGGGAAACCGGAGCUAAUACCGGAUAAUAUUUUGAACCGCAUGGUUCAAAAGUGAAAGACGGUCUUGCUGUCACUUAUAGAUGGAUCCGCGCUGCAUUAGCUAGUUGGUAAGGUAACGGCUUACCAAGGCAACGAUGCAUAGCCGACCUGAGAGGGUGAUCGGCCACACUGGAACUGAGACACGGUCCAGACUCCUACGGGAGGCAGCAGUAGGGAAUCUUCCGCAAUGGGCGAAAGCCUGACGGAGCAACGCCGCGUGAGUGAUGAAGGUCUUCGGAUCGUAAAACUCUGUUAUUAGGGAAGAACAUAUGUGUAAGUAACUGUGCACAUCUUGACGGUACCUAAUCAGAAAGCCACGGCUAACUACGUGCCAGCAGCCGCGGUAAUACGUAGGUGGCAAGCGUUAUCCGGAAUUAUUGGGCGUAAAGCGCGCGUAGGCGGUUUUUUAAGUCUGAUGUGAAAGCCCACGGCUCAACCGUGGAGGGUCAUUGGAAACUGGAAAACUUGAGUGCAGAAGAGGAAAGUGGAAUUCCAUGUGUAGCGGUGAAAUGCGCAGAGAUAUGGAGGAACACCAGUGGCGAAGGCGGCUUUCUGGUCUGUAACUGACGCUGAUGUGCGAAAGCGUGGGGAUCAAACAGG
rnacentral:rRNA from 1 species